AUAUAUAUAUAUAACAGUAUAAAAAAAUGUUUACAAAUAUCUUAACUUGCAACGUGUGACAGGCUACACAUCAGUGUUGUCCAUCUUUAAUCGAGAAAUGCAUUCAGAACAUUUUAUGAAGUAUUGGCAGGCUGUACCUGACGUCUUACUUUCUUGCAACGAAAUCAAAAGAACUACAAACCAAUUAAAUUAAUUUUUA